rnacentral:misc_RNA from 2 species
AGCAGCCGCGGUAAUUCCAGCUCCAAUAGCGUAUAUUAAAGUUGUUGCAGUUAAAAAGCUCGUAGUUGAAUUUCGGGAUCAGUUGUUGGUCGUGCUUCGGUACGUACUGUCAUUACUGGUUUCUACCUUCUGAAGAACCUUGAUGUCAUUAAUUGGUGUCUUGGGGAAUCAGGACUGUUACUUUGAAAAAAAUUAGAGUGUUUAAAGCAAGCAUACGCAUUGAAUACAUUAGCAUGGAAUAAUGAAAUAGGACGUUUGAUUCUAUUUUGUUGGUUUCUAGGAUCGACGUAAUGAUUAAUAGGGAUAGUUGGGGGGCAUUAGUAUUCAAUUGUCAGAGGUGAAAUUCUUGGAUUUAUUGAAGACUAACUACUGCGAAAGCAUUUGCCAAGGAUGUUUUCAUUAAUCAAGAACGAAAGUUAGGGGAUCGAAGACGAUCAGAUACCGUCGUAGUCUUAACCAUAAACUAUGCCGACUAGGGAUCGGAUGAUGUUAUUUUUUCAAUGACUCAUUCGGCGCCUUA